rnacentral:rRNA from 1 species
AUACGUAGGGGGCGAGCGUUGUCCGGAAUUAUUGGGCGUAAAGGGUACGCAGGCGGCCAUGUAAGUCAGAUGUGAAAGACAUAGGCUUAACCUAUGUAAGCAUUUGAAACUGCUUGGCUUGAGUUAAGGAGAGGAAAGUGGAAUUCCUAGUGUAGCGGUGAAAUGCGUAGAUAUUAGGAAGAAUAUCAGUGGCGAAGGCGACCUUCUGGACUUAUACUGACGCUGAGGUACGAAAGCGUGGGGAGCAAACAGGAUUAGAUACCCUGGUAGUCCACGCCGUAAACGAUGAGUGCUAGGUGUCGGGGGUCAAACCUCGGUGCCGCCGUUAACACAUUAAGCACUCCGCCUGGGGAGUACGUACGCAAGUAUGAA